GACUGUGCUACUCUACAGUUAAAACUGACUUUAAAAAUCUGGUGAUUUGAGAGUUUUUGUAAAUUAUAUUCAUAAAUAUACUCUCGAAUGUUUAUUCUCUAUUGCCAAGAAAUUUGGGCAAACUGGCCCAGAAACAAACUUUAAUUAAAAUCCUCAGCCCAUGGCUGUUGGACCAUGAGGACCUGCAUUUCUGAUGGUGGAUAGUAAUGCUUUACCUCUUUGUUUUCAAAGUGUGCUCUGUGGGUCAAUGACUUGGGUUUUACUUGGGCCCUUUUUAACAAAUGCAGAAGUUUGGGUCUCACUUCAGGACUACAGAAUCAGAAUCUACAUUUACACAGGAUCCCAGGUUUGAGAACUACUGUUGUAGCUAAGACAUUGCUUUCACCUUCUGGAAGCUGUUCUCAAUCCUUUCCACAUGGCCCACAUCUUCAAAGCCAGCCACGGAAAUGCAUCACUAAGUCCAGCACACACUUAAGGGGGCAGGAGGUGGAAUUAAGCUCCAUUUCCUAGAAGGAUUAUCAAAGACUUUGUGGACAUAUGUUCAAACCACGACAGUAAUUAUUCUAUGGUAGAUACUUUGU